AUUGAACUCUGGCGGCAGGCCUAACGCAUGCAAGUCGAACGAGUGGCGGACGGGUGAGUAAUGUCUGGGGAACUGCCCGAUGGAGGGGGAUAACUACUGGAAACGGUAGCUAAUACCGCAUACCAUCGGAUGUUCCCAGAUGGGAUUAGCUUGUAGGUGGGGUAAAGGCUCACCUGGGCGACGAUCCCUAGCUGGUCUGAGAGGAUGACCAGCCACAGUGGAAUGGAGACACGGCCCAGACUCCUACGGGAGGCAGCAGUGGGGAAUAUGGCACAAUGGGCGCAAGCCUGAUGCAGCCAUGCCGCGUGUAUGAAGAAGGCCUUAGGGUUGUAAAGUACGUUCAGCGAGGAGGCGUUACGCGCAGAAGAAGCACCGGCUAACUCCGUGCCAGCAGCCGCGGUAAUUC
rnacentral:rRNA from 1 species